UGAGGAAUAUUGGUCAAUGGGCGAGAGCCUGAACCAGCCAAGUAGCGUGCAGGACGACGGCCCUAUGGGUUGUAAACUGCUUUUAUACGGGGGUAAAGUCAUCCACGUGUGGAUGUUUGCAAGUACCCGAAGAAAAAGCAUCGGCUAACUCCGUGCCAGCAGCCGCGGUAAUACGGAGGAUGCGAGCGUUAUCCGGAUUUAUUGGGUUUAAAGGGUGCGCAGGCGGCGCGCCAAGUCAGCGGUCAAAGUUCCGGGCUCAACCCGGUGUCGCCGUUGAAACUGGUGUGCUCGAGCGCGUGCGAGGAAGGCGGAAUGCGUUGUGUAGCGGUGAAAUGCAUAGAUAUGACGCAGAACUCCGAUUGCGAAGGCAGCUUUCCAGCGCGCUACUGACGCUGAGGCACGAAAGCGUGGGGAUCGAACAGGAUUAGAUACCCUGGUAGU
rnacentral:rRNA from 1 species